UACGUAGGGGGCGAGCGUUGUCCGGAAUUACUGGGGCGUAAAGGGCGCGUAGGCGGCCUUAUAAGUUUCGUGUGAAAACCCUGUUUUUAAGGCAGGAGGUGCACGGAAAACUGUAAGGCUUGAGUGCAGGAGAGGGAAGCGGAAUUCCAAGUGUAGCGGUAAAAUGCGCAGAUAUUUGGAGGAACACCGGUGGCGAAGGCGGCUUCCUGGACUGUAACUGACGCUGAGGCACGAAAGCGUGGGGAGCAAACAGGAUUAGAUAUCCCGGUAGUCCCUGAGCGGGCUGGCAA
rnacentral:rRNA from 1 species